AUUGCUUCUUGGCCUUUUGGCUAAGAUCAAGUGUAGUAUCUAUUCUUAUAAGUUUAAUAUCUGAUACAUCCUCUAUCCGAGGACAGUAUAUUAAAUGGAUUUUUGUAGCUUGGAGUUAGAAUAGGAACUUGCUCUGUCCAUUCCAUGCAUCGACCUGGUAUUGCAGUAUCUCUAGGAAUGGUGCACCCCCU
rnacentral:snRNA from 1 species